GCGUUCGUGGUGUAGUGGUUAGUACGCUCGACGCCUAACCGAGAGGACCCUAGUUCGAUUCCCGGCGGAUGCG
rnacentral:tRNA from 1 species